GUGAGUUUGUAAGAUAAAAUUGACAAUAACAACUGACGCACCAAACGGUGUUUAUAUAACUAUUUUUAGAUAUAUUUAUCAUUAUUCACCAAGAUGCUUCUAUCCCUUUUACUAAUGAUUUUAGGCCUAUUUUGGGGGAAUGCAACCACUUUAAAUCCGAUUGGGCCAAUCAUAAUCCCCCCAAUAUGUGUCCGUAAGUGUGCAAAUAUUCAAUGCUUAUUGAAUGUCCCAAUAUGCCAUGAUGGAACUGUUAUAGGAAGUAGUAAAUUGUGUGAUUGUUGCCAUAAUCAAUGCGUUAUACCUGGGGGAGGAAAAUGUCCUUUGAGAGGAUACUCUUGCUCUUACCCUUAUAGAUGUUGCAACGGGAAAUGCUCCGUCAAAUGUUUAAAAUAAUUGUUUAUUUAAAAAGACAUUUUUAAUACAUAUUUGGUAUUGUUUAA